AUAAAGUUCAGUCCUAGGGUAAUAACGGUACCCCCAGAACUGGAAGUGCAGACCCGGGAGAGGACGUGGUGAAGAAGAAAUCUCCAGCCACUGCUGAGGAGAGCAGCAGGAAAUGCCAACAUGUCCUGGCAGAACUGGAGAGUGUCCUUGGACACCUAGAGGGUCUUUUUGCCUGAACGUUAGCACAAGUGCUGAUGCUCCUUGGGGGCAAUGCCUGAAGUUCCAAGGAGUUCUAUUUUAAUCAAUAGAAACUGAUAAAAGGCCAGAUGAAGAACUCAGGCAAUGCUUUAUUGGGACUCACGCUGCUGCAAAGGGAGAGAAAAUGAAGAACAGGUGCCCUUCCUCACACUCUCCAAGGAAGGCAUGCUGGGGGGAGGGGAGGGCAGAUAGGCCAGUCAGGCUAGAAGGGUGGCUUACGUGGUCUGCUCACCCUCUUGGUAGUGCUGUGUGCAGGUAUCAUGGGUAGGACCUUGCUUUUGCUCUCAGCACAUCAGAAAGCUUAGUUGAUAUUUGUCCAAGUACAAGUGCAAGCCCUCCAUAAAGAGUCCCAGGUCCCAGCCGGUCUCAUUCCUACCACCUUGACUUGUCCUGCUUGACCAUCAAUAGCAUGGACCCGAGCUUAAGCACAGCAGCUUGUUUGCGCCGUCUCUUGCGAGCCAUUUUCCUUGUGGAUGCCUUCGGUGAGCUGCAGCAACUCUGCUCAUGGGCACCAUGGGCACAGCACAGGGCAACUGUGACUGUGAAGACUGGUCUGGACCCAAGCUCAGCUAUAGAGUGCCCAGCCAGGGUCACAAAUUGACCUUGUUCUGCAGAUGACUCUCCAUCCCAACCACAGCUUGGAAAGAUUACAUUUGGCUCCUGGCACUAGUGACACUAAAAGUCUUCCGUGAGUGAACUGGAUGCUUCUCAAUCACGAACACAAUGGCUAAAUUAUCUUUCCUCUGGUGGCACCAAGUGACUCAUCUUUUGUUUGGAGCUGGUUACUUCCUGGUGAGAGGAAGUUUCUGUCCUUCUGGUUGCCUUCCUGUCUCUCUUCCUGGUGGGCUGAUGGUAUGGUUAGGGCUGUAAUACUGUCAUAGAACAUCUUUUUGAAUCAAAGACUAAUUUUCCCAGAGAUUGUGGAGUCGAGUAUUUCUAUUUGAGGUAGGAAAGCAAACACGGACCCAUAAAUAGACACUCAUAUGGUCCUUUUCUCCUAUUUCUGUGGCUUUUCAUAAUUUUUACCAGGGACAUAAUGUGGGUAUGACUCAUGAACCUAAAUAUAAUGCGAAUGGAUUCAUAGUAACUUUUCCUGAAACUAAAAAAAAAUCAGUCCCAUCAUAAUCAUGGUAGCUUACUUCACAUGUGGAAAGCUUUAAAAGGUCACUUCCAGAUGAUGUCCUUGG
ensembl:lncRNA